rnacentral:tRNA from 1 species
CGGGGCGUAGCGCAGUUGGGAGCGCGCCUGUUUCGGGUACAGGAGGUCGAAGGUUCGAGUCCUUUCGCCCCGACCA